rnacentral:lncRNA from 1 species
AUCCGUUUUAUGGUCCAGUUAGUAAUAUUUUCAAUUCAAUUUGGUAAAUCUAAUUCUAUAUUAGAAUUCCAAUGUGUGGACGAUGAAGGUUGCUAUUUCUUUCAAUAUUGCUAUAAAAAUUAUUGUUCCCACAAUUGGCCAAUGAUAAUUGCAAUUUUAACUGGCAUUUGUCUGAUUGCAUGUAUAUGGUGCUGCUUAUCUUGUAUUUGCUCACCAUGCCGCAUGGUAUGUAAAUUAUGUUGCAAGUGCUGUCGCUGUUUUUCUUAGUUAUAAUCAGUAUAUAGAAAAGUUACUCGGUUUUUAUAUUUAUGAAACUGUUUUAAAAUUAAAAAUGAUUUAUUAAUAUGUACCUAUUUAA